rnacentral:rRNA from 1 species
GAUGAACGCUGGCGGCGUGCCUAAUACAUGCAAGUCGAGCGAACGGACGAGAAGCUUGCUUCUCUGAUGUUAGCGGCGGACGGGUAAGUAACACGUGGAUAACCUACCUAUAAGACUGGGAUAACUUCGGGAAACCGUAGCUAAUACCGGAUAAUAUUUUGAACCGCAUGGUUCAAUAGUGAAAGACGGUCUUGCUGUCACUUAUAGAUGGAUCCGCGCUGCAUUAGCUAGUUGGUAAGGUAACGGCUUACCAAGGCAACGAUGCAUAGCCGACCUGAGAGGGUGAUCGGCCACACUGGAACUGAGACACGGUCCAGACUCCUACGGGAGGCAGCAGUAGGGAAUCUUCCGCAAUGGGCGAAAGCCUGACGGAGCAACGCCGCGUGAGUGAUGAAGGUCUUCGGAUCGUAAAACUCUGUUAUUAGGGAAGAACAUAUGUGUAAGUAACUGUGCACAUCUUGACGGUACCUAAUCAGAAAGCCACGGCUAACUACGUG